UACAGAGGGUGCGAGCGUUAAUCGGAAUUACUGGGCGUAAAGCGCGCGUAGGCGGCUUUGCAAGUCGGGUGUGAAAUCCCCAGGCUUAACCUGGGAACUGCAUUCGAGACUGCAUGGCUAGAGUAUGGAAGAGGGAAGUGGAAUUCACGGUGUAGCAGUGAAAUGCGUAGAUAUCGUGAGGAAGACCAGUGGCGAAGGCGGGUCUCUGGACAGUUCCUGACGCUGAGGCGCGAAGGCCAGGGGAGCAAACGGG
rnacentral:rRNA from 1 species